UAGAGAGAUAGCUCAGUGGUUAGAUGCACUCGCUGCUCUUCCAGAGGACAUGAGUUUGUUUUUCAGCAUCCGUGGGCUGCUCACAAUCACCAGUAACUAGUUCCAGGGAAUCGGCCCCCUCUUCUUCUCUCACUAGUAGAGAAAUCUUUUGAAGGACAGAAGAACUUCUGCUCGGAGGACCCGUUGAACUCUGAGUGUGGCAUGCCACUCUCUUGUCAGGAGCAAAAGCUAAAAUAAACUCUGUAGAAUGCCUCUCUCAUGAUUUAUUGUUCCUACAAGCACUUCUCGCCUCUCCCAAGCACAUCCCAUCGAGUUAAGAUGAGAGUUGAGGCCCCAUACUGAA
ensembl:lincRNA Gm13943 predicted gene 13943